rnacentral:rRNA from 1 species
AUACAGAGGGUGCGAGCGUUAAUCGGAAUUACUGGGCGUAAAGCGCGCGUAGGCGGCUUAUUAAGUCAGAUGUGAAAUCCCCGGGCUCAACCUGGGAACUGCAUCUGAUACUGGUAAGCUAGAGUUUUGGAGAGGGAAGUAGAAUUUCAGGUGUAGCGGUGAAAUGCAUAGAGACCUGAAGGAAUACCAGUGGCGAAGGCGACUUCCUGGCCAAAAACUGACGCUGAGGUGCGAAAGCGUGGGUAGCAAACGGGAUUAGAAACCCUUGUAGUCC